AAUAUUGGACAAUGGGAGAAAGCCUGAUCCAGCAACGCCGCGCGUUUGAAGAGGGUAUCCGGAUUGUAAAGUACUUCACGUUGGGAGGAAGGGUGGUAGGUUAAAACCCUGCUAUUGUGACGUUACCAACGGAAUAAGAUCCGGCUAACUUCGUGCUAGUAGCCGCGGUAAUACGAAGGGUGCAAGCGUUAAUCGGAAUUACUGGGCGUAAAGCGGGCGUAGGUGGUUCAGGAAGAUGGAAGUGAAAUCCCCGGGCUUAACCUGGGAACUGCUGUCAUAACUGCUGAGCUAGAGUACGGUAGAGGGUAGUGGAAUUUCCUGUGUAGCGGUGAAAUGCGUAGAUAUAGGGAGGAACACCAGUGGCGAAGGCAACUACCUGGACUGAUACUGACGCUGAGGUGCGAAAGCGUGGGGAGCAAACAGG
rnacentral:rRNA from 1 species